AGACCCAAACCCCAGAGUCAUCCCUGAUCACCCACAAAACCCUGGGGCCAUUCCAGCGGCAAUUCCAUGCACUCCAGCUUCACAUGUGCCUUCAGGAUCUCCUUGCUCCUCCACUGCUCCCACUGCCUCCAGCCUCCACUGCCUCAAAUCUGGGCAUAUGCACGGCUUCCUCGCUGGCCCCAGCAGCUAGCUGCCUUUGACCUCCUACAGUCUGUUCUCAGCCAAAAACCAGAGAGAACCACUUAAAAUGUCAGGCCGAUCAACACCUAAAUUCAAACCUUCACCAGCUCCCUAUUUCACUCGGAGCCUAAGGCUGAAGCUCUUCCUCUCAGGCCUCGCCUGCCACCCCCUCCUUGUUCAGCUUUAGCCACAUGGGCCUCCUGGCUGCUCCUCCAACGUACCAGGCACACUUCUGCCCAAGGACUAUGCCCCGUGGCCUGCAACAUCACCCCAGCAGGCCACCGGCCCCUCUCCCCUCCUUCCAGCUCUGCUCACAUAGCACUCACUCUGCAAGUCCUCCUGGACCAUCUUCAAACCUGCACCCCCACCGCCCACGCUUGCUUUCCUUUGCGCCUUAGCACUCCUGAUCCUCUCAACGCCCACUAUGACUCACUGCUGUAUUUUGUUUAAGUCUGCCCCAACUGGGCUGUACCCAUGGGGGCAGGAAUUUUCAUCUGCUUUGUUCACUGAUACUCAAAAUCUUGGGCAGGAGGAUGUGGGUGCUGCCCCAUUGGAACAGAAUCUGCAGUUGGCACCUGAUUGUUCCCUCAGACUGGAAUGCACUCCCUGCUCCCUGAGCCUGACAGCAUGAGGUGGGCCCAGGUCAAAGCCCUCCUCCAAGUCUUUUCCAGCCAGCUUGCUUGCUCCGUUCCCUCCAGGCCCUGCAUCCAACACUCUCCACUGUUCCUCCUGGUCCAUACCUGGGAGUCCCAUGAUGCAGCCUGCAUUUAAGGUGCUGUAGUCAGGUAUGGCUGGGCACCUUUAAACUGUCCUACAGAGCCUGGCACCUGGGCUCGACUCACUGGUGGAAGUUCUCACACAUGGAGUCUGGCAUUCUUUCGCCAAGAAAAUGCAUUAAAAACCAAGGUGGCAUUAAAAACCACCUUGUCUUGGUAAGAGCUCCUCGUGGCAAGAAACGUAUGCAGCUCUAGCUGUUCCGUGGAGCCAUUAUCUAGCCCCAGAAAAACCUGCUGUUGACUUUUCUGAGAAAUCAGUUCUUGGAAGCCCUUAGAAUAAAUACGAUAAAAUUUGAGACAUGCCUGCCUUCCUCAGGGCCGGGUACAUAAGUGUGUUACUUUCCUCCUUCUGAGUCCAAUUCUAAAAGCCAAGUCUCUCUCCUUCUUGGCUCCAAAUAGCAAAAAGCCAUCAACCUUUUCCUCCUUGCCCUCUAGGAAACCCUGUUACCAUAGCAGAAAGAACAUGGGUUUCAGAUCCAUAGGAACUGGGUUCAAAUCCCAACUUACCAGCUAUGGAAUUUUCAGUAAGAUCAUUAAUGUCUUUGAGCCACAAUUUCCUGUUCUGUAAAAUGGAAUUUUGCAGUGAUGCAGGAUUAGUUAUGAUAACAUAUCAAAAAGAGCAUGCUGGCAGCACUCGAUGAAAAUUAGCCAUUUAUAUUUAUUGUUACGAUGGGUAUUAUUCCCCCAGAACCUACCUGCCUGUUACCAUCCCUUGGGCCAGCCUGCAGGGUCCAGGCAGAGAUGACAUUGAAGGCCUUGACCACUGUGCAAGUGGGGAAGAGGGAGGCCAGGUACUCAGCAUUGGACUCACGAUGCUGAAGGUGCUCUUGCUCUGUAGGGUUGCUCACAUCCACCAGGAUCUUGCCCGCCAGCUGGUCACUGAGACUGCACAGUGAAGAGUAGUGCUCCCGGAACACAGCCACAAAGAUGACCUCCGGGGAGCUCACUGCCUCCUCUUGGAAAGUCACUUGGGCCGCUGAGGGAAACAGCCUGGCUGUGCGUUUGGGGUUGCGGCUCCCCACCACCACUUUGAAGCCAGAGCCCACCAGGCGUGUGGCCAGGGAGCGGGCAAAGUCCCCGCUACCCAGGAUGCCCACUUUGGGGGCCUCAUCGGGGACCUUGGCAAGGCUACUAUCGCUGUCCACCAGGUGGAGGCUGAUCAGUGGCUUGUCCAUCUCUUCUGGCAUUUUGGUGGCUGCAAGAGAAGUCAGGAACCUGGUCAGUGGAGGGCUCCUGGACUGCCCCUUCUGCCACCUCCCUCCUCUUAUACAUCGUAACUACACGGCAGUCAGACAUUCACCCAGCAGGUGUUCACCGAGUGCUACCACGUGUCAGCACCAGGGGAACAAGCUGAACACAACACAGCCCCUUCCCUGGGGAGAGCACAGACUCAGGAAGAGCAGGGAUGACUUCUGCCCUCCACCCUUUGUCCCUCCUGCUGAAUGAUUUCCUCGGGAAAAACUGGCAGAGUGAGAGUGCUGGGAAAGGGAACUCUGGAAUUUCCAUGACCAAUGUGAUGCAGUGCCAUACUUCUUUUCAAAAGGAUUAGGCAAUGGACAGUGUCACUAGCCAGGAGUGACCAUCUAACCCCAACCUCACCAUCGCUGGGUGUUUGAUGACCAGGAAGGGUGAGCAUGUCCCUAUGCUUGUCUACAUUUUGCAUCUUGGAGCAGUUCUUCUUAUGCUCUCCCUGAAGCAUGGUGAACAGCUUGAGGGCAGGACCUCAUCUCAUCUGACCUUGGACCUCACUGUGUAUCAUAGCCUGGCACGGAGGCAGUGCUCAGUGUUUGCUGAAUGAAUGAAUGAAUGAACACCAAACCUUGAUCUCUGAGGGCAGGACUGAGAGACAAGUGAAUGGGCCCCUAAGAUAGAGUGGGUGCCCUGUGAUCUUCUUUGCUGAGCCCAAGAUAUGAGUGGAUGUGGAGGAAACCCUGAACUCGGGCCAUCGGUCUACAGUAAACUUGGAUGGAAAAAUUAUUAUAUAUUAAUUGUCACCAACUUCUAACUAAAAUUUGCUAUUUCCUUUAAGUAUGAAGGUAGGCAACAUAAUUUUUCAUUAAUACUGACCAAGAUCAUAUCAUAAAUUUACCUGUAAAUAAUUUAUCCUAAUACCAUUUAAAUUGAGCACAAAUUUAAAACCAUGCUAGCCAGGUGCAGUGGCUCACACCUGUAAUCUUAGCACUUCAGGAGGUCAAGGCAGGAGAAUCGCUUGAGGUCAGGAGUUCAAGACCAGCCUGGGCCACACAGGGAGGUCCCAUCUCU
ensembl:lncRNA STEAP3-AS1 STEAP3 antisense RNA 1